rnacentral:rRNA from 1 species
UACGACGGGGGCUAGCGUUGCUCGGAAUCACUGGGCGUAAAGCGCACGUAGGCGGCUUCUUAAGUCAGGGGUGAAAUCCUGGAGCUCAACUCCAGAACUGCCUUUGAUACAGCACGUCUUGAGUCCGGAAGAGGUGGGUGGAAUUCCUAGUGUAGAGGUGAAAUUCGUAGAUAUUAGGAAGAACACCGGUGGCGAAGGCGGCCCACUGGUCCGGUACUGACGCUGAGGUGCGAAAGCGUGGGGAGCAAACAGG